GCCGGGGCGGCGGAGAGGUUCCUCUUCAGCCGCCUGCGUCUCGACAGGAGGGAGCCGGAGCUGCCGGACAAGCCCCGGCCAUUAGCCGCCACGGCUCGGUCUGACGCACCGGAUCCCGGGGUCGUGGCGGAGUGAGGGAGGCUGUUCCCGUUCCGGCUGUUGCCGUUCCUCGCCUCCGCGCGGGAGGGAGCCGAGCGUCCGACGCCAUCGUCCAGCGGAGUCCCGCCGCGGGAGAGGGACAGUCCGCCGGGCUUCUUCACGAACUUCCCCGCGUCCUCAGCGGCAGCCCGCACGCCUUCCAUCGCUGUCCCGGCGUGUCUGUUCACACAGGGAGCCUAUCCAGGAGGAUGUUUAAGAUGCUGGCUUGCCUGUCCACGGAGCCACGGAUAGUGACAUCAGCAAAUGUCCCUACUAUGCUGCCAAAAUGACGGCGUCGAGUGGAACGGCAUAUGCCAGUCAACUCGCCAUGGCCGACCUCUGACACCCAACGGGACAUGUUCUGUUUGCGACUUGGAUUGCUGCUCUGGCUGGAUUCGCUGCAUGGUAUCUGAUGUGAUCCUGCCUCCAGCCUGUCAUUUUGCUGCUGAGAGAGGGAGAGGGAGAGAGGGAGAGGGAGAAGAAACAUUGAAGGAAGGCGAAUAAGGGGAUUUAGACCAUUCCAUAGUUUAAUACAAACAUUCUUUAGGGUCCAAGCUAAUUCAAUAUUACACUUAAAAACUGUAACUGGCUAUACGGCUGACAAUGAUGCACCUAUAUACAAUACACUGUUACACAAUUACAGUUCUUUUUUUUAAAUCCAUUCUCACAUUUCGUAAUUCAUACUUGGCCUCCAGAAAGUUGGUACAUGUGCACAAGUGAUACGGAUCCGAAGCUGUUUUUCAAGACAUAGCACACCUACACUUUGACAAGUGCAUGUUUUAUUAAAACUAUUUCAGAUAAUUGAAUGUCUACUGAUGCAUGUUGAAAUGAUUUAAUUAUUUGCUUUGGGUUUUUAAGCUAUAUUAUGAUUAAGGUGUAAACAGAGAAGUUUGAGAAGGAAAUUUUCUUCUUCUAAUAUUAAUGGUUUAUCUAAAUUCUUUUAAUAGACCUGUAGUUUAUCUACUUGACGGUUACUUAUGUUCGAGGUAGGUCUUUUAACAUCUCAUUUGUUUUGAAUACACAAGUAUCCACCAUCGCUACAACUGGGUACCCAUCAUGUAUAUGACUUUGACGUAAGUUUUCUCCUGUUAGUACAAAAUUAUAAUAAUACAAAAUUAAUUACACUGCAUGUGUAAUUAAUUUUAAUUUUCACCCUGACACAGUAUGCUUGUUGCACACAGAGUACCAAAGGAGAUGUGUUGAUAGUAACAUUUAAACCAGGAUGCUGUGCUCUCAACGCAUACUGUCUGCAUGUGACUCUGCAGUAUUCUUUCAUUAGCAAAGCUCAUUCAGGACAACAGCUCGAGUGCAGCUGUUUGGUCACAGCCAUGGAAACCUAAGUAAUGAUACUGAUGUGUUAUGCAUUCUCGUUUCUCAGGUUCCUGCUGCAGAAAGAUGGCAAUAUAGUAUGUUGGGCAUGGACUGCCUGAUAUGUAGGGUCCAUGUUUAAUUCAUUUUCAUGCAAGUGUUUUUUUUUAAAAUGCUAAAAGUGUUUUUGGAAAUACAGAAGGGACACAUACUUGAAUUUCAGGGACGCAGGUUGAGUAAAACUUUGUGUUACGUGGGGAGGACUAAUUUGUGUUGUUUUUGAAUUCUCUUGCAUUUUCAAUAACCCCAGUUCUUAUAUCCCUUUGUGUGUCUAACUGAACAGAGCUUUAUUAGUAACUGAAGAGAUAGAGUAACCUUCAUGGUAUGAGAGGAAAAAUCCAGUAGUAUGUCCUGCUCCAAACGGUGAAAUGAAACUCUCUUCUUUUUUUUCUGUUCAUGCGGAAAUAAAGUGGAUUCACUUGG